rnacentral:rRNA from 1 species
UAAGACGAACCGAGCGAACGUUGUUCGGAAUCACUGGGCUUAAAGGGCGCGUAGGCGGGCAUCAUAGUCUGUGGUGAAAUCCGGCAGCUUAACUGUCGAAUUGCCAUGGAUACUGGGUGUCUCGAGGGAGGCAGGGGUGCGCGGAACUGAUGGUGGAGCGGUGAAAUGCGUUGAUAUCAUCAGGAACUCCGGUGGCGAAGGCGGCGCACUGGUCCUUUUCUGACGCUGAGGCGCGAAAGCCAGGGGAACAAACG